rnacentral:rRNA from 1 species
GACGAACGCUGGCGGCGUGCUUAACACAUGCAAGUCGAACGGAAAGGCCCUGCUUUCAUGGUACUCGAGUGGCGAACGGGGGAGUAACACGUGGGUGAUCUGCCCUGCACUUCGGGAUAAGCCUGGGAAACUGGGGCUAAUACCGGAGAGGAGCGAUUCUGAGGGUGGUGGGUGGAAAGUUUUUUCGGUGUGGGAGGGGACCCCGGCCUUUCAGCUUGUUGGUGGGGUAAUGGCCUACCAAGGCGGCGACGGGGAGCCGGCCUGAGAGGGUGGACGGGCAAAUUGGGGCUGGGAUAACGGCCAGGCUCCCACGGGGGGGAGCAGUGGGGAAUAUUGGAAAAUGGGCGGAAGGCUGAUGCAGCGACGCCGCGUGGGGGAUGAAGGCCUUCGGGUUGUAAACUCCUUUCGCUCGGGACGAAGCUGUUUGUGACGGUACUUAGAUAAGAAGCACCGGCUAACUACGUG